AUUGAACGCUGGCGGCAGGCCUAACACAUGCAAGUCGAGCGGAUGAAGGGAGCUUGCUCCUGGAUUCAGCGGCGGACGGGGGAGUAAUGCCUAGGAAUCUGCCUGGUAGGGGGGGAUAACGUCCGGAAACGGGCGCUAAUACCGCAUACGUCCUGAGGGAGAAAGGGGGGGAUCUUCGGACCUCACGCUAUCGGAUGAGCCUAGGUCGGAUUAGCUAGUUGGUGGGGUAAAGGCCUACCAAGGCGACGAUCCGUAACUGGUCUGAGAGGAUGAUCAGUCACACUGGAACUGAGACACGGUCCAGACUCCUACGGGAGGCAGCAGUGGGGAAUAUUGGACAAUGGGCGAAAGCCUGAUCCAGCCAUGCCGCGUGUGUGAAGAAGGUCUUCGGAUUGUAAAGCACUUUAAGUUGGGAGGAAGGGCAGUAAGUUAAUACCUUGCUGUUUUGACGUUACCAACAGAAUAAGCACCGGCUAACUUCGUG
rnacentral:rRNA from 1 species